rnacentral:rRNA from 1 species
AUGAACGCUAGCGACAGGCUUAACACAUGCAAGUCGAGGGGCAGCGGGGGUAGCAAUACCCGCCGGCGACCGGCGCACGGGUGAGUAACGCGUAUGCAACUUGCCUAUCAGAGGGGGAUAACCCGGCGAAAGUCGGACUAAUACCGCAUAAAGCAGGGGCCCCGCAUGGGGAUAUUUGCUAAAGAUUCAUCGCUGAUAGAUAGGCAUGCGUUCCAUUAGGCAGUUGGCGGGGUAACGGCCCACCAAACCGACGAUGGAUAGGGGUUCUGAGAGGAAGGUCCCCCACAUUGGUACUGAGACGCGGACCAAACUCCUACGGGAGGCAGCAGUGAGGAAUAUUGGUCAAUGGGCGUAAGCCUGAACCAGCCAAGUCGCGUGAGGGAUGAAGGUUCUAUGGAUCGUAAACCUCUUUUAUAAGGGAAUAAAGUGCGGGACGUGUCCCGUUUUGUAUGUACCUUAUGAAUAAGGAUCGGCUAACUCCGUGCCAGCAGCCGCGGUAAUACGGAGGAUCCGAGCGUUAUCCGGAUUUAUUGGGUUUAAAGGGUGCGUAGGCGGCCUUUUAAGUCAGCGGUGAAAGUCUGUGGCUCAACCAUAGAAUUGCCGUUGAAACUGGGGGGCUUGAGUAUGUUUGAGGCAGGCGGAAUGCGUGGUGUAGCGGUGAAAUGCUUAGAUAUCACGCAGAACCCCGAUUGCGAAGGCAGCCUGCCAAGCCAUGACUGACGCUGAUGCACGAAAGCGUGGGGAUCAAACAGGAUUAGAUACCCUGGUAGUCCACGCAGUAAACGAUGAUCACUAGCUGUUUGCGAUACAGUGUAAGCGGCACAGCGAAAGCGUUAAGUGAUCCACCUGGGGAGUACGCCGGCAACGGUGAAACUCAAAGGAAUUGACGGGGGCCCGCACAAGCGGAGGAACAUGUGGUUUAAUUCGAUGAUACGCGAGGAACCUUACCCGGGUUUGAACGCAUUUCGACCGCUCUGGAAACAGAGCCUCUAGCAAUAGCGAUUUGCGAGGUGCUGCAUGGUUGUCGUCAGCUCGUGCCGUGAGGUGUCGGCUUAAGUGCCAUAACGAGCGCAACCCUUGCCACUAGUUACUAACAGGUGAUGCUGAGGACUCUGGUGGGACUGCCAGCGUAAGCUGCGAGGAAGGCGGGGAUGACGUCAAAUCAGCACGGCCCUUACAUCCGGGGCGACACACGUGUUACAAUGGCGUGGACAAAGGGAAGCCACCUGGCGACAGGGAGCGAAUCCCCAAACCACGUCUCAGUUCGGAUCGGAGUCUGCAACCCGACUCCGUGAAGCUGGAUUCGCUAGUAAUCGCGCAUCAGCCAUGGCGCGGUGAAUACGUUCCCGGGCCUUGUACACACCGCCCGUCAAGCCAUGGGAGCCGGGGGUACCUGAAGUCCGUAACCGCGAGGAUCGGCCUAGGGUAAAACUGGUGACUGGGGCU